UAUCGUUACUGGGGGAGCUGUCAGGCUGAGAGUUCCGGAGCUUUUCGGACGACCCUUGGAACCUGGUCUCGGUAAUGCGAGCGUAGGGAAGUAGCAUCGGAUUCGG
rnacentral:ncRNA from 2 species